rnacentral:rRNA from 1 species
AUUUAACGCUGGCGGCAUGCUUUACACAUGCAAGUCGAACGGUAACAGGCCUUCGGGUGCUGACGAGUGGCGAACGGGUGAGUAAUGCAUCGGAACGUGCCCAGUCGUGGGGGAUAACGCAGCGAAAGCUGUGCUAAUACCGCAUACGAACUGUGGAUGAAAGCGGGGGACCUUCGGGCCUCGCGCGAUUGGAGCGGCCGAUGUCAGAUUAGGUAGUUGGAGGGGUAAAGGCUCACCAAGCCAACGAUCUGUAGCUGGUCUGAGAGGACGACCAGCCACACUGGGACUGAGACACGGCCCAGACUGCGACGGGAGGGAGCAGUGGGGAAUUUUGGACAAUGGGGGCAACUCUGAUCCAGCAAUGCCGCGUGCAGGAAGAAGGCCUUCGGGUUGUAAACUGCUUUUGUACGGAGCGAAAAGGCUCCCUCGGAUACAGGGGGCUCAUGACGGUACCGUAAGAAUAAGCACCGGCUAACUACGUGCCAGCCGCCGCAGUAAUAC